AACGAACGCUGGCGGCAGGCCUAACACAUGCAAGUCGAACGUGAAGCCACCUUCGGGUGGUGGAAAGUGGCAGACGGGUGAGUAACGCGUGGGAACGUGCCUUUCGGUUCGGAAUAACCCAGGGAAACUUGGGCUAAUACCGGAUACGCCCUUCGGGGGAAAGAUUCAUCGCCGAAAGAUCGGCCCGCGUCGGAUUAGCUAGUUGGUAGGGUAAUGGCCUACCAAGGCGACGAUCCGUAGCUGGUCUGAGAGGAUGACCAGCCACACUGGGACUGAGACACGGCCCAGACUCCUACGGGAGGCAGCAGUGGGGAAUAUUGGACAAUGGGCGAAAGCCUGAUCCAGCCAUGCCGCGUGGGUGAAGAAGGCCCUAGGGUUGUAAACCCCUUUCAGCGGGGAAGAUAAUGACGGUACCCGCAGAAGAAGCCCCGGCUAACUCCGUGCCAGCCGCCGCCGCAGUAA
rnacentral:rRNA from 1 species